AAAUGUAUGUUUUAGUCUCAUGAUCAACAAGGUGUUUUUCCCAGGGUAAGGCCUGAACCUUGCACUCUGGGCAGGAUGACCCCCUGUGUGUUUCCCUAAAUGUGGGAAACUUGGCCACACAGUUUUGUCUAAAUGGGAUACCAUGUUCCUGCUUUCUCC
rnacentral:snRNA from 1 species